AUGGAAGUCGCAGUUACCGACGAACGAGAUCCCGAAAUACUCGCCCGCGUUCAAACGAAAAUCUUGACUGUGUGCAGCAAACCUGCCAACUCCAUCGACAGAAACCAAACAAACACUAAUUCGAACAACAUUAAUUCAAGCUCCCCUCUAUCACGAAAGCUAUCCGCGACAUUGAGCCCUCGACCUUACCCCUACACGAACGGAAAUUUAUCGGAUAGCAAAACCGAUAAGAGUCCGCUUGACUUCGGCAAGAGGUUCGAAACGAAGAGAAAUGGCUACUUGAUCCCAACGAGCCUGACAACAGAAAAGCUCAAGCUCGACUACGAGGAGGUCGGUCGUGAUGGCGGAGGAGGCGACAGCGAUAGUGACAGCGCAGUGAGCUCCAGCCGGUCCAGCAUCUCGCCACCCAUGUCCCCGAUGCCCGAACCCAACUGUCACCACUUGAACGAAGACGAUCGACACAUGAACAAUACGGAAAAGCUCUUGCACCGAACGUUAUCGUCGGACACAACCGCAUCGGCCGCCUCCUCUACGACCUCGACGCUCACCUCCGGCUCACAAGCGAGCAGUAGCUCCGGCGGCGCUCCCUCCAAGCGAGUACUCAAGCCGCAAAGCGUGGAGGCCAUCAACAGGAAGAACGUCCUCACUUCCGCCAAGUAUUCUUGCGGUCUGGACUCAAAAAUCGGCUCACCGCUCAUCCAACGCAAGUUCGAGGAGAAGGCCGGGAGCACGGCAAGUCUCGGCGAUGACUUGGCCGCCGACCUGGAAUUCCUCAAUUACUUGGAGAAGACAGUUUGCCGAAAGAACGGUCACGAAGAAAAGGAACCGCGUGCCGGAAGCGAGUCGGUCUUCCACCAGCCGACAGACAACCCCGACGGGAACGUCGAGAUCGCUUACUUGAACGUGACGGAGCCGGCGACGCCCGAAACGGAAUCCGAGCAAAGUCAGAACUCCCUGAGCUCCGAGUCGACGAACGGUCAGAGCCAGGUGGACCUGAACGGCAACGAGCCGAAACCGUUCUUCGGGCCCAAGUCGUCGAGCCGAUACGACGACCACGACACCCCGCUAAUCAAAAGCUCAGCAAGGAGUUCAACAUACCAAUCAACGUCAACGACGACGUGUCAGACUCGAGCCUGUCGAAGGACUCGAAACCCAAGAUGGAGCGGUUGCUCUCUCCGGAGCCGUACCGUCCGGAGCACCGCCGCUCGGUCCUGUCCCCGGACCCAUACCGCGAGUCACACAUAG
rnacentral:lncRNA from 1 species